AAUAAAUUGAUUAUCUUGCGUAUCUGCCCCCGGCCAAAUUAAGAAGUAAUGCGUGCACGCUCCUAAAGUAAUUGACACCAGACACAGGUUUCGGGUUAAUGAAAAACUUGAGGAAUGUUUAUUCUGAGGGGACGACAUGCCCCUUAUAAAGCAAAAUUACAUCAUAUGCAUUGUCAGAGAUAACAUGGAAUAAUGCAUCAAUAAUUGGUUAGGUGUUAAGUGGUUUAUUUAGUGCUCUUCCUACCGGGUGUGAUGUCACUGGUAUCUUGGAGGUCUCCCCAGAUUCCAGCGCCAUCAUGUUAAUGAGAGUGUUAGUUGAUGUCAAAAAGGGAAACUCCCUAGCGGCCAUUUUAGGUAAAUCACAUAGAAAGUUGAAUAAUGCUGAUUGUAGUUAUUUUGAGUAAAUAGGCACUUUACCAACAUGGAUUGGGUUAAUAUUUUGUCCACAACAUGCUGGUGUUUUAUUGCUUGGAUCUUGGAUGUAUGCACACAAACACACAUACUUACAUAGUUAUACAUACACAUAACACAGAGGUACAUAUAAAAACACUGACUCAUACACAGAAAUACAUAUAGAGACCGACAUAUACCCACACACCUGCACACAUGACACACAGAUACACAAAGGUAUGUGAAUGUGGGGAGGCUUGUCACAGCCUCAUCACAACCUGCCUAUCCUGCACCCCAAAGCCUUUCCCACACAGACUGCCUCCAGAACACCAAGCCCCCCUGCAGCCUGUCCCCCACACCCUGCACCUUCACAGACUUCCACCCGACACGGUCCCCCCCAUACUGUCACCUUGCUAUACACUGUCCCCCUAUACAGUCACCAUCCUACACACAGUUGCCAUCCCCCUCCCCCUCCUUCCAGCCCUCAGGUAAGAGGCAGGGAGGGGGAUAGGCCCAAUUUAUUUAAACUGCUCACCUACCCCCAUCCCUUAUCCAACACUACAUCCGUUACACAGACAUUGCAUCCAUCACACAAAUACUGCAUGCAGUACACACACUGCAUCCAUUUCCCCAUACACAAUGUAGUCCACACAAUUUGCAUACAAUACACACAACAUCCAUGACACACACACAAUGCAUACAAUAUACACAUUGCGUCCACUACACAAACAGACAUUGCACUCACUACAAUCUGCAUAACAUCAUAGACGUUGGCGUGCUUUCAUUGCGUGAUGGUGUGGGGGGGGGGAGGUACAUUUCAUCCUGGGUGAACUUACUUGUCACUGCUCUGUCGCUCUCAUAAGUUGACUCUCAUUGUACUGCCAAACCCUACCCACUCAGGGAGUCGGUUGACUCUUACUAUAACUUACUAUAACUUACUGACACGCUCUGUUGUCCCAUGAGUGCAGGCCUCGGAGUCCAGCCGAAGUUUCUUCUGCUAUAUGUGCUAACUUACUAAUCUUAACCAUGUAAUCCUCAUGUCUAUUUCAGAUAUAGAGUCCAUUGUUAUUAAUUGAACAUACAGUGAGACGUCUGUUUUAUUAUUAUAAUAUCAAGUGAUAUCUUGACACAUCUGAAACCUUGACACAGUUUUUCUCACAUGCAAAUCUUGGAAUUGUCAAAGUGUCUUUACUUAAAUGUUGUUCCUUCAAAGCAGCACAAAAAAAAAAAUAAAAAAAAUAGAUGUAAUCUUCUGUACCUAGCCAAACAAAUUUCCAUAAGCUUUGCAUUCAUAAUAUGCAAAUGAAAUAUAGAAAUUGGUUAAUACAAUUAAAAAAAAAAAAAAAAAAAUGAUUGACUCCUCAAACUAUACUCUGAAUUUUAGCC